rnacentral:rRNA from 1 species
UACGUAGGUGGCAAGCGUUGUCCGGAAUUACUGGGCGUAAAGGGCGUGUAGGCGGCUUUUUAAGUCAGACGUGAAAUCUCUGGGCUUAACCCAGAAAUUGCGUUUGAAACUGGAAGGCUUGAGGAUCGGAGAGGGUAGUGGAAUUCCCAGUGUAGCGGUGAAAUGCGUAGAUAUUGGGAGGAACACCAGUGGCGAAGGCGACUGCCUGGACGACACCUGACGCUGAGGCGCGAAAGCCAGGGGAGCAAACGGG